AUGAAUGGUCCACCAUCAGCCCACAAGGUGCCGGGCAUGUAUUUCUUUGCUGGACCUGCCAUCCUGAGCCCAGAUUCUUGCAUUUUUGUCAGGGAACCACUGUCCCGUGUAGAUCCAAACUUGAAGGAUUACAAAAACCCUUCCCAAAAGCAAAGUUUGGCUCAGGAGACAAAUAUGAUUUCACUUUCCAUGUCUGCUUCCUUCCAAUCUCCAGAAAAUAGAAUGUGGUCUUUGCUUCUCUCCAUUGUGUUUCUUGCUAUCCAGCCAUGUGUCCGUUCCCAGGUGACUUUGGGCCAGGACAAUUCAGUGGUGCUGAAGCCAACAGAGAACCUCAGGCUCACCUGCUCCAUUUCUGGGUUCUCCCUCACUGAAAAUGGGAUUGCUGUCAGCUGGAUCCGUCAGCCGCCAGCGAAAGGGCUGGAAUGGUUGUCCCUCAUCUAUUGGGAUGAUGACAAGCGCUACCUUGACUCCCUGAAAAAUCGGAUGACCAUCUCCAGAGAUGUUUCCAAGAGUGAAGUUUACUUAGAGAUGAGAAGCAUGGAGACGAGGGACACUGGCACAUAUUACUGUGCCAGAAGAGACACAGCAUUCAAAAGCAAUGAGAAGGCUAGACAAAUACCAGCAUUGCAAUGA